rnacentral:rRNA from 1 species
AUCGAUGAAGAACGCAGCGAAAUGCGAUAAGUAAUGUGAAUUGCAGAAUUCAGUGAAUCAUCGAAUCUUUGAACGCACAUUGCGCCCGCCAGCAUUCUGGCGGGCAUGCCUGUUCGAGCGUCAUUUCAACCCUCAAGCCCGGCUUGGUGUUGGGGCCCUACGUUUGACGUAGGCCCUUAAAGGUAGUGGCGGACCCUCCCGGAGCCUCCUUUGCGUAGUAACUUAACGUCUCGCACUGGGAUUCGGAGGGACUCUUGCCGUAAAACCCCCAAAACUUUUACAGGUUGACCUCGGAUCAGGUAGGAAUACCCGCUGAACUUAAGCAUAUCAAUAAGCGGAGGAAAAGAAACCAACAGGGAUUGCCCCAGUAACGGCGAGUGAAGCGGCAACAGCUCAAAUUUGAAAUCUGGCCCCAGGCCCGAGUUGUAAUUUGCAGAGGAUGCUUUUGGCGCGGUGCCUUCCGAGUUCCCUGGAACGGGACGCCAUAGAGGGUGAGAGCCCCGUACGGUUGGACACCAAGCCUUUGUAAAGCUCCUUCGACGAGUCGAGUAGUUUGGGAAUGCUGCUCAAAAUGGGAGGUAUAUUUCUUCUAAAGCUAAAUAUAGGCCAGAGACCGAUAGCGCACAAGUAGAGUGAUCGAAAGAUGAAAAGCACUUUGAAAAGAGGGUUAAACAGCACGUGAAAUUGUUAAAAGGGAAGCGCUUGUGACCAGACUUGCGUCCGGUGAAUCACCCAGCUCUCGCGGCUGGGGCACUUCGCCGGCACAGGCCAGCAUCAGCUUGCCGUCGGGGACAAAAGCUUCAGGAACGUAGCUCUCUUCGGGGAGUGUUAUAGCCUGUUGCAUAAUACCCUUCGGCGGGCUGAGGUACGCGCUCCGCAAGGAUGCUGGCGUAAUGGUCAUCAGCGACCCGUCUUGAAACACGG